CAAAAUGGCAGGCGUGGAUGUAAACAUGUGCGGAGAGAUGUUCAUUGUUGUGGAUUGAUACUAUGCGUGUGGAUGUCAAACUAUGCAGGAAAUAUGACUCCUAUACUACUUUUGUUGUGUAGAAGAGGUGAAAGGUGCGGGGUACCCGUGUCAUGGUGUUUGAUUCCAUAUGCUGUAUGCUCCAGUGACUCAUUACAAUCAACUGCUUCAGCCCCUAAGUUGAAUUUAUCCAAAUGCAUUUAACAUGUUUUUGGCUUAUGCGUGAGACUAUCUGCAUCAAUUGGUGAAUUUGCUGGUUCUACCUCCCUAUGUUCCUGCCUGUUACCCAGCUUUUCCUAUGUGGAGACCAUCGGCAUGAUUUUGUACAAGGAAAACAAUUAUGUGCAUUUAUAACCUUCAAACAGAAAUAUCAACAUGAUUAUAUCUGUUAAUUAUAAAUAUACAAACCUAACCUUAGU